GCGGAGGAAAAGAAACCAACAGGGAUUGCCCUAGUAACGGCGAGUGAAGCGGCAACAGCUCAAAUUUGAAAUCUGGCUCUUUCAGAGUCCGAGUUGUAAUUUGCAGAGGGCGCUUUGGAGUUGGCAGCGGUCCAAGUUCCUUGGAACAGGACGUCACAGAGGGUGAGAAUCCCGUACGUGGUCGCUAGCCUUCGCCGUGUAAAGCCCCUUCGACGAGUCGAGUUGUUUGGGAAUGCAGCUCUAAAUGGGAGGUAAAUUUCUUCUAAAGCUAAAUACUGGCCAGAGACCGAUAGCGCACAAGUAGAGUGAUCGAAAGAUGAAAAGCACUUUGGAAAGAGAGUCAAAUAGCACGUGAAAUUGUUGAAAGGGAAGCGCUUGCAGCCAGACUUGCCUGUAGUUGCUUAUCCGGACUCUUGUCCGGUGCACUCUUCUAUAGGCAGGCCAGCAUCAGUUUGGGCGGUUGGAUAAAGGUCUCUGUCACGUACCUCUCUUCGGGGAGGCCUUAUAGGGGAGACGACAUGCAACCAGCCUGGACUGAGGUCCGCGCAUCUGCUAGGAUGCUGGCGUAAUGGCUGUAAGCGGCCCGUCUUGAAACACGGACCAAGGAGUCUAACAUCUAUGCGAGUGUUUGGGUGUCAAGCCCAGACGCGUAAUGAAAGUGAACGGAGGUGGGAACCCUUUGGGUGCACCAUCGACCGAUCCUGAUGUCUUCGGAUGGAUUUGAGUAAGAGCAUGGCUGUUGGGACCCGAAAGAUGGUGAACUAUGCUUGAAUAGGGUGAAGCCAGAGGAAACUCUGGUGGAGGCUCGCAGCGGUUCUGACGUGCAAAUCGAUCGUCAAAUUUGGGCAUAGGGGCGAAAGACUAAUCGAACUAUCUAGUAGCUGGU
rnacentral:sRNA from 1 species